UAGCUAAAUGCGGAAGAGAUAAGUGCUGAAAGCAUCUAAGCACGAAACUUGCCCCGAGAUGAGUUCUCCCUGAGACUUUAAGUCUCCUGAAGGAACGUUGAAGACGACGACGUUGAUAGGCCGGGUGUGUAAGCGCAGCGAUGCGUUGAGCUAACCGGUACUAAUGAACCGUGAGGCUUAACCUUACAACGCCGAAGCUGUU
rnacentral:rRNA from 1 species